rnacentral:rRNA from 1 species
GAUGAACGCUAGCGGCAGGCUUAAUACAUGCAAGUCGUGGGGCAGCAUGAAGUAGCAAUACUUUGAUGGCGACCGGCAAACGGGUGCGGAACACGUACACAACCUUCCUUUUAGUGGGGAAUAGCCCAGAGAAAUUUGGACUAAUACCCCGUAACAUAGCGAUGUGGCAUCACAUUGCUAUUAUAGCUUCGGCGCUAGAAGAUGGGUGUGCGUAUGAUUAGAUAGUUGGCAAGGUAACGGCUCACCAAGUCUACGAUCAUUAGCUGAUGUGAGAGCAUGAUCAGCCACACGGGCACUGAGACACGGGCCCGACUCCUACGGGAGGCAGCAGUAAGGAAUAUUGGUCAAUGGACGAAAGUCUGAACCAGCCAUGCCGCGUGAAGGAUUAAGGUCCUCUGGAUUGUAAACUUCUUUUAUAUGGGACGAAAAAAGGUCUUUCUAGAUCACUUGACGGUACCAUAUGAAUAAGCACCGGCUAACUCCGUGCCAGCAGCCGCAGUAAGAC